UUGUAAAGCAGUAAACUUUAAGGAAUUAUUGGAUGGAUGUGUCCUCACACUUAGGAGAGCUCCAAUAUCCUGGAGGAGUAAUACUAACUGGGCAAACAGUGAUCUAUAUAAAAGCCCAGAGAAGCAGCCUGAAUUGAAGAUGCCAGGUGAUAUACAGGAAGCAUUCGUGGAACAAGAAAAUGGUCCUGAAAGUCACCAAGAAAUGUCUGGGAAGAAAGGCCAGCCAUUGAGAUCUGAAAGGAAGAAGGAGGUACUUGUAGUUGAAGGAGACAAAUGAAGGUAUAAAAUAGCCAUCUACGACAGUGGAAAAAGAAAGCACAUUCUAACCUGGCUGAGAGUUGUACACCUUGGGACAUGGGAGCUAACAUCGAAUGUAGUCCAUCCUCCAUUUCUGAGAACUGCCUUAGAUUAACAACUUUUUUGCCGAAACAAUCUGAUUCCAGAGGCGUCCAGAGGUACCAGGAGGCACCCACCCUCUAUGACCAACCCCCAGCCCACAUUGCCUAUAACCUGUAACCAUUAUACCUUGCCUGCUUUCCCUUUAUAUCUUGCCUGCUUUCCCGGGCCUGUAAUUCUUACUUUUCCAUGUAAUCU